rnacentral:misc_RNA from 1 species
GCUUCCAAACUUAAAAAUAACAAUAAAGAUUCUCAGAAAGUAAGUGAAGGCCCUGUAAGAAAAAAGAAAACCAAAAUAAGCCAAAGUGGCCCUUCUUCCCUCCAAGAAGGGAGCUGCUCGGAAAAUCCUUUCAUUUCACUUAUAAAUGAACACUAUCAGUACCAUUUUCACUUUGAUAUUCCAAUGAUUAAAUAAACCAAAUUCCCCAAAAGAAGGCACAAACAAUCCAAGCAAAAUAAAUCAUACCUGAAAAAAAAAAAUUCUUCUAGGUAACAAAUUUACCUUGAAAAAUUAAGUCCCAUAAAACCCCAUAGCUUUGAAUUCAGUGGGUUUAACAAGUUGGUCUCGGCAAAAUCAAUUUAACAAUUUUUUUUUAAAGCCUCUUAACAAUUGUUUUUUGAUUAUUAAACAAAGCUCAAUCCAUAAAAAUAAGGAUUUUUUAAAAUAGCGAAAUCAUAGGUACUAGUCCUGAAAACAAAGAGGAAUUACCUUGGAAGGAUCGACCUUCUG